rfam:Oryza glaberrima chromosome 3 Oglab03_0119_10, whole genome shotgun sequence.
AGUCAGGGAACCCUGAGUUUCUGUGUCCAACUUUAACGGUCCGUCUUAUAUAAAAUUUUUUUAUAAUUCAUAUUUUCAUUGUUGUUAGAUGAUAAAACAUGAUUAAUAUUUUAUGCGUGACUUGUAUUUUUGAUUUUUUUUAUAAUUUUUUAAAUAAAACGGACGGUCAAACGUUGGGCACGGAAACCAAAGUUUGUCUUUUUU